rnacentral:rRNA from 1 species
CCUACGGGAGGCUGCAGUGGGGAAUCUUGGACAAUGGGGGCAACCCUGAUCCAGCAAUGCCGCGUGUGGGAUGAAGGCCUUCGGGUUGUAAACCUCUUUUGUCAGGGAAGAUGAUGACGGUACCUGACGAAUAAGCCACGGCUAACUACGUGCCAGCAGCCGCGGUAAUACGUAGGUGGCAAGCGUUGUCCGGAUUUACUGGGCGUAAAGAGCGCGCAGGCGGUCGUUCAAGUCGCGUGUGAAAGCCCCCGGCUCAACUGGGGAGGGUCACGCGAUACUGAUCGACUCGAAGGCAGGAGAGGGAAGUGGAAUUCCCGGUGUAGUGGUGAAAUGCGUAGAUAUCGGGAGGAACACCAGUGGCGAAGGCGACUUCCUGGCCUGUUCUUGACGCUGAGGCGCGAAAGCUAGGGGAGCAAACGGGAUUAGAUACCCCAGUAGUC